GCACUGCUGAGGAGUCCCAUAAUAUGACGAAACGACCGUCCAGUGC
rfam:Schistosoma rodhaini strain Burundi genome assembly, scaffold: SROB_scaffold0012099